AAGUCGUAACAAGGUUUCCGUAGGUGAACGGUCCUUUUCAGGUUCACCACCCUAAGUCUGCCGCUGCAGGCUAUACUUCUACUGUGCUGGGAUUCACCGUCGUGAUACCAGCAGCCUAGCAAUGGGCUCACAGGUCAAAUGGAAGUGGCCCUCUACAGGGUUAAGAUAUGAUCGGGAGGUCGCUGGAGACAGCCGCCACGCUUCCGCUGCGGAAGGAUCAUUACCGAGUUCAUGCCCUAAUGGGUAGAUCUCCCACCCUAUGUUUACAUACCUUUGUUGCUUUGGCGGGCCGUCGCUAGACCGCUGGUUUCGGCCAGCGCGUGCCCGCCAGAGGACCCCAAACUCUGUGUUUAGUGUUGUCUGAGUACUAUAAAAUAAGUGAAAA
rnacentral:misc_RNA from 1 species